rnacentral:lncRNA from 1 species
UCUAAUCAAAUAUUAAAUUAGAUUAAUCAGAAUUUUUUUAAUACAAUAGUUGUAGAUGGUCAAGUUCAUGUCUUUUAUUAGACUAAAUAGAUCUAGAUUGUAGCUCAGUGGUUGAACCCAAAUCAUUAGGUUGGUCAAAUCAAAACUAAUUAACCAAUUAGUGUCUAAGAUAAGUUUGAUAUUUCGAUCGGUGAUUUUUAAUUGAGAGCGGCU